rnacentral:rRNA from 1 species
AGAGUUUGAUCCUGGCUCAGGAUGAACGCUAGCUACAGGCUUAACACAUGCAAGUCGAGGGGAAACGAUAGAGAAAGCUUGCUUUUUCUAGGCGUCGACCGGCGCACGGGUGAGUAACGCGUAUCCAACCUGCCCACCACUUGGGGAUAACCUUGCGAAAGUAAGACUAAUACCCAAUGAUAUCUCAAGAAGACAUCUGAAUGAGAUUAAAGAUUUAUCGGUGAUGGAUGGGGAUGCGUCUGAUUAGCUUGUUGGCGGGGUAACGGCCCACCAAGGCGACGAUCAGUAGGGGUUCUGAGAGGAAGGUCCCCCACAUUGGAACUGAGACACGGUCCAAACUCCUACGGGAGGCAGCAGUGAGGAAUAUUGGUCAAUGGACGAGAGUCUGAACCAGCCAAGUAGCGUGCAGGAUGACGGCCCUAUGGGUUGUAAACUGCUUUUAUAAGGGAAUAAAGUGAGUCUCGUGAGACUUUUUGCAUGUACCUUAUGAAUAAGGACCGGCUAAUUCCGUGCCAGCAGCCGCGGUAAUACGGAAGGUCCGGGCGUUAUCCGGAUUUAUUGGGUUUAAAGGGAGCGUAGGCCGGAGAUUAAGCGUGUUGUGAAAUGUAGAUGCUCAACAUCUGCACUGCAGCGCGAACUGGUUUCCUUGAGUACGCACAAAGUGGGCGGAAUUCGUGGUGUAGCGGUGAAAUGCUUAGAUAUCACGAAGAACUCCGAUUGCGAAGGCAGCUCACUGGAGCGCAACUGACGCUGAAGCUCGAAAGUGCGGGUAUCGAACAGGAUUAGAUACCCUGGUAGUCCGCACGGUAAACGAUGGAUGCCCGCUGUUGGUCUGAAUAGGUCAGCGGCCAAGCGAAAGCAUUAAGCAUCCCACCUGGGGAGUACGCCGGCAACGGUGAA